GCUUGUCUCAAAGAUUAAGCCAUGCAUGUCUAAGUUUAAAUAGAAAACAGUGAAACUGCGAAUGGCUCAUUAAAUAAUUUUGCAUAUACAAGAUAGUCAACUCUACUUGGAUAACCGUAGUAAUUCUAGAGCUAAUACAUGCAUGAACCCCCGACUUUUGAAGGGGUGUAUUUAUUAGAUUGAAACCAAUGCGGGUUCCCCGGUAUUUGGUGAUUCAUAAUAACUUUCGGAUCGACUUCGGUCGAUGCAUCAUUCAAGUUUCUGCCCUAUCAGCUUUGGAUGGUAGGGUAUUGGCCUACCAUGGCUUUAACGGGUAACGGAGAAUUAGGGUUCGAUUCCGGAGAGGGAGCCUGAGAAAUGGCUACCACAUCCAAGGAAGGCAGCAGG
rnacentral:rRNA from 1 species